rnacentral:lncRNA from 1 species
GCACACACUCUAAUGGCACAGGUCACGUUGCCUAAGGACAACCUCACACCUCUGGAAGAAAUGGGGUCUAGUGAUUGACAGCGGGAGAUCUUAAGAUGUGCGGCCCUGGACGAGUCGUUUUACAGGUUUGCGGCAUCAGUGAGUGGGAGGAAUCCAGGUGCCUCCAAGGCCGUCCUGGGGAGGAGGUGAUGGAAGUCCUGCGAAAGAGGCAGGCAGACCCUGGCAGGAGGCGCGGGUUUUCGUGCGUACAGUUCAUGGUUCAAAUAAGUAGAAACCACUUUACUUUUGAUUUCCAGGUUGUAUGUACCAGACAGACUGCACUUUCUGGAGUCUGACACCAGAACUUGUGCAGGAGGUGA